UGGUAGAGGCGCGGUUGCGAAAAGUAAUGACUGUCAGGAAAACCAUUCCGCUUCAUACAGUCACGAAAGGCAAAACCGCCGAAGAAUAAAUUCUGGUAAAAUUUGUUCUGGUCAUAAUCUCAAUAGGAUUAUGAUUGUCAUCAGCGUUUGAUGGAGAGCUAUCGG
rnacentral:ncRNA from 1 species